UGGAAAAAGAAGAACAAGAAGAAGAUAGAUUAACAG
rnacentral:sRNA from 1 species